AAGAGUAAAUAACAAGGAACCAGAUAAGCCAUCAUCUAGAUUUCAUAUAUGAAUGAAAAAACACCAAAAAACAUUAAUUUGCAGUGAGUUUUGUGCUUUAAAAUAAGAGAAAACAGAUCAAAAUCAUUAUUUGAGAAGAGUCUAUAUCAAAAUCCCCCUACAUUAGUGCUGUGAUCAAUGUGGAGGAUUUAAUUAAUUCAUUGAAAUUUCAGCCUAAAUUUAUCAAACAAUGCUAAACAGAAUAAAAUCAGAUUCAAAACAGAAAAUACAUAUAUUAAAAAUACAUAAAACUGUUUAAAUCAUUAAAAGCAAAACGUCUCUGUGACAUCACAGCAGUGGCUGAGAUCCAAUAUCUAUUCUCCGAUAUAUGGGCUUAGUGAGGACUUUUUCACUGGGGGAUCUCAUUCAAAGCAUAACAGAAGACAGCAUAGCUACUCAUAGUUUGUCAUUAUGGUCAAAAUGUUCCCAGAGGUCUCUUCCUCUCCAAAAUAAACUGACCCAGAGAGUAAAGCUGCUUCAGCACUGAAUAAAGCAGUUUACUUUUAAAGUUAGUGUUUCCUUGAUGGAUACAAGCCAGAGAGGCUACAAGCUAAUGCAAAGUGACCUUAGCUUCUCUGCAAACAGUUCUGGAGGUUUAACGUUUCAUAGUUGAUCUGUAUGUCCUCUUACAUUGCCAAACAUUGGUACAAACCAAGGUGUUAACCUCUGAUUGUCGUCCUAGAAUCGGACAUAAAUCUGCCUAGAAGUCCUGUUGCCUGAGCUCAGGUAAAAUAAUGUUAGUUAAAAAAGAACAAGAUUUAAAGUGUUUAGUAAAAGUGUGCUGAAAACUGGAUAAAAAAGUACAU